rnacentral:lncRNA from 1 species
UUUGUUUCUAAGGUUUGGCUAGUUGAGAACUUCUAAUUAGCAGACUGAUGGUAAGUUGGAAAUAUACACGAACCUGCUUAUGAUGCUCUGCCACCACACAUUAAUCCUGCAACUUGGGGCUGCUCACUCUUUUAAUAAGCGAACCUGCUUAUGAUGCUCUGCCACCACACAUUAAUCCUGCAACUUGGGGCUGCUCACUCUUUUAAUAAGCGAACCUGCUUAUGAUGCUCUGCCACCACACAUUAAUCCUGCAACUUGGGGCUGCUCACUCUUUUAAUAAGAAAUAUGUGGAUAAGCACUUCUCCUUACAGUUGCUCCAAUUCUUUUUUUCCUUUUGCAGGUUCAGGGCUC